rnacentral:lncRNA from 1 species
ACAACAACAACAACAAUAACAAGAACAACAACGACACCAACAACGACGACGACAACAACAACAACGACAACAACAAUGACAACAACAACGACAACAACAACGACAACAACAACGACAACGACAACGACAAAAAGAACGACAACGACAACAACAACGACGACAACAACAAGAACAAGAACAACAACAACAACAACAGCAACAGCAACAAC